rnacentral:rRNA from 1 species
UACGUAGGGUGCAAGCGUUAAUCGGAAUUACUGGGCGUAAAGCGUGCGCAGGCGGUUUUGUAAGUCUGUCGUGAAAUCCCCGGGCUCAACCUGGGAAUUGCGAUGGAGACUGCAAGGCUAGAAUCUGGCAGAGGGGGGGUAGAAUUCCACGUGUAGCAGUGAAAUGCGUAGAGAUGUGGAGGAACACCGAUGGCGAAGGCAGCCCCCUGGGUCAAGAUUGACGCUCAGGCACGAAAGGCGUGGGGAGCAAACGAGG